rnacentral:rRNA from 1 species
GACGAACGCUGGCGGCGUGCUUAACACAUGCCAGUCGAACGGAAAGGCCCUGCUUUUGUGGGGUGCUCGAGUGGCGAACGGGUGAGUAACACGUGAGUAACCUGCCCUUGACUUUGGGAUAACUUCAGGAAACUGGGGCUAAUACCGGAUAGGAGCUCCUGCUGCAUGGUGGGGGCUGGAAAGUUUCGGCGGUUGGGGAUGGACUCGCGGCUUAUCAGCUUGUUGGUGGGGUAGUGGCUUACCAAGGCUUUGACGGGUAGCCGGCCUGAGAGGGUGACCGGCCACAUUGGGACUGAGAUACGGCCCAGACUCCUACGGGAGGCAGCAGUGGGGAAUAUUGCACAAUGGGCGGAAGCCUGAUGCAGCAACGCCGCGUGCGGGAUGACGGCCUUCGGGUUGUAAACCGCUUUCGCCUGUGACGAAGCGUGAGUGACGGUAAUGGGUAAAGAAGCACCGGCUAACUACGUG